CGGGGUGUAGCGCAGAUUGGUAGCGCGCAUGCUUUGGGAGCAUGAGGUCGCUGGUUCGAAUCCAGUCGCCCCGACCA
rnacentral:tRNA from 1 species